AUUUUUCUCUGGUUUCUUAAUAGAGCGGUCAUAUUAACUAGGGAUAAUUUGGCACGGCGCAACUGGCAAGGGAGCAAAAAAUGUGUCUUCUGUCAGCACGACGAGUCUAUUAAACACUUAAUUUUUGAGUGUAAGUUUGCUCGGUCUGUGUGGUCUGUUGCUCAAAUAGCCUCAAAUCUUUACCCAGCACGUACUGCGCUGAAUAUAUUCGGCAAUUAG
rnacentral:rRNA from 1 species